GGGCGGGAGGGCCCGGGGCGUGUUCCCGCCGGGGCUGCGGGCCUCCGGGGCACCCUGACAACUGGAGAAACUGAGGCACAGACUGUCUCAAGGCCGCACUAUGAGUUAGCAAACCACAGGAGCGCCCAGUGAAAGCCUGCGACGAGUGGCCUGACAGAGGCCGGGAUUUUCCCAGGCCCUGAGUCCUGGGGGUCUGAAGAGGACCAGAGGGGCUGGGGACUCCUGAAGGCCUGGGCGCCCGCUUCCGGGACAUCUCCGCCGGGUGGAACGAGCCGGAUCGCCGCGAGGGUCCCCGGCCUCACGAAAUUAAUGAGGAAGAUGCCUUUCCUCAAUGGAGGAGGAGAGAUUCCGUUUAACCUCUGCAGACAGCAAGACAGGGACCACUCUCCCCCCAAGCCUGGCGGCAGCAUGGACUUGAAGGCACGUUAACAGGAGCCAGGAAUUGGAGGGUCUUCUCAAACUUGGCAACCAACGUUGAAUUGCCUGAGCUGGAGCUCAGGAUGACCGACCCAUGUCUUGCUCUGACUUUGCACAUCUCAGUUCUCACUUAUCUGUUCAAGAAAUAUUAUUGAGGACCUUCAUUCCGCUUGAGCUUCUGAAAUUAUGGAUCUCAAACUCUAGAUUAGAAAAUGACACAGAAGCCAUGAAAUGGAAGGGUAGAAGGCUUUGCAGAAGGACCAAUGUUUGUUAUGAGUCCUGACAGAUGAAAAGGAGUUCCCUCGGUGGUGUCAGUUCAUCUUCUGUAAGAUAACAUGGUUAAACUAGAUCUACAAGAGGACUCAUUUAGUCCUAAUAGAUUCCGUGUUUAUGACCCGCCUGUAACCAAUUUUUUUCUUCUGUGUGUAUCCCUCUAGGGAGUUGAGAGACCUCCAUGGACUUCCUGUCAUCAUCCCUUAUUUUGUUAGCUGAAGCAAUCCAACUUGAGCUUUUGGUCUUGAAUUUCCCAGUUGUGUUUGGAAGCCAAAGCAUUGUCACAUUAGCUCAUCUAUAAUCUUCUUAGGGAAUGGUCUCUUGAGCUCACAGAUUUAUUUCCAUCCAUCCAGUUCCCAAGGCAUUUCACUUAGUAACCUUAGUGGUACAUUUGCUGGUAAUUAUGCCCAGCCUUGGUCAUAAAGCCCGUUUGCUCAACAACAAAAUGUGAGUGCCUGCAGUCAAUACUCUCAGCCUUCCCAACUGCUCUUGUCUUCCCUUUCUUCCUCUAGGACACGCAGUUUAGGAUACAACAUGCAGCCAGGACUUCGAUUAACUAGGAUCCUGAUACUCUGCCACAACAGGUCAAAUUUCGUGCUUUGACGGCUUUUUCAUCCAUGGGACAGGAGCCAGCUGCUAGGGCAAAGCUUGAAACAGCAGUGGUCAUCUGACAAGUAGUUGGCUAAUUACCUAUCUAUUCUGCUAUGGAAAAUUAUGGGGUUUUUUUAUCUUCUCAAUUUUUAUGGAUGUUUGCACUGUAAAAGAACAAUUUGUGAAACUUUUAGAGAAGUAAGAUAACAGUCUUCAAAUUUG